rnacentral:tRNA from 1 species
CCUGGUGGCUCAGAGGGUAAAGCAUCUGCCUGCAAUGCAGGAGACCCGGGUUCGAUCCCUGGGUCAGGA